GAUGAAGAACGUAGCGAAAUGCGAUACUUGGUGUGAAUUGCAGAAUCCCGUGAACCAUCGAGUCUUUGAACGCAAGUUGCGCCUCAAGCCAUUAGGUUGAGGGCACGUCUGCCUGGGCGUCACAUAUCGUUGCCUGAUGCCAGUUUCCUCGUGAUGGGUGACUGUGCAGGGCGAAUGAUGGCUUCCCGUGAGCAUUGUUGCCUCAUGGUUGGUUGAAAAUUGAGUCCUUGGUAGGGAGCGCCGUGAUAGAUGGUGGUUGAGUGACGAACGAGACCCAAUCAUGUGAGACCCCUACCGAAUUUGGCCUUCAUGACCCACAUGCGUCUUUGGAACACUCAUGACGAGACCUCAGGUCAGGCGGGGCUACCCGCUGAGUUUAAGCAUAUCAAUAAGCGGAGGA
rnacentral:misc_RNA from 1 species